AUCUCGUUAGAUCACCGAAGUCAAGCAUCAUUGGGCGCGGUCAGUACUUGGGUGGGUGACCACCUGGGAACACCGUGUGCCGUU